UCAAACCAUGAACUCCUCGUCUCUCUGGUUGUUGCUGCUGCUGGCAGCUGUUCCUCGUGUCCACUGUGUUGAACUGACCCAGACUGAUUCUCUUGUCUUAAGUCCUGGUCAGGUUUUGACUCUGUCCUGUACAAUCUCUGGAUAUUCAGUGACUGACAGCAGCUACUGCACUCACUUCAUUCGGCAGCCUGCAGGAAAAGCUCUGGAAUGGGUUGGAGAGAUAUGUGGUAGCGGUGACACAUAUUACAGUGAUAAACUGAAAAGUAGAUUUCAAGUUACCAGAGACUCUUCCAGAAACACAGUGACUCUUCAAGGACAGAAAAUGCAGACUGAGGACACAGCUGUGUAUUACUGUGCCAGAGAGUCACAGUGACACAGAGCAGAUACUCUCUUGAUCAAAAACCACACACUUACUUUAUAAAAACCGUACCAUAUUGCUUUCGAGUUAUGUCAUUCUUUUUCAUUAUUUCAUGAUAGUGAAGUCUAUUUUUAUUGCUUUAAAAUCUUUCAGACAGUCUAUAUUAUGAACACCAUCAUUAUUGUGCUGUUUAUUUAUUGAUUUAUUCUUAUGAAGUUCAUGACUGUCAUUGUGCUGUGCAUAAAAGUAAGUCUUUCUUAUCCAAACAAGGUCAUCCAAAAAAGAAAGGCUUAAUGUGCACGUAUACAUUGACUAGACAAGAGAGAAAAAAACACUGAGCACACAGGGAAAGAAAACCCAACAGAACGUCCAUGAUAAAUGAGUAAAUUACUGAAAUCACAUCGGAUUAAAGGUUAAA